rnacentral:rRNA from 1 species
CCUACGGGAGGCAGCAGUGAGGAAUAUUGGUCAAUGGGCGGGAGCCUGAACCAGCCAAGCCGCGUGAGGGAAGAAGGUACAGCGUAUCGUAAACCUCUUUUGUCAGGGAACAAAGGCGGGGACUAGUCCCCGGAUGAGGGUACCUGAAGACAAAGCAUCGGCUAACUCCGUGCCAGCAGCCGCGGUAAGACGGAGGAUGCGAGCGUUAUCCGGAUUUAUUGGGUUUAAAGGGUGCGCAGUCGGUCUGUUAAGUCAGCGGUCAAAGCCCGGGGCUCAACCCCGGCCCGCCGUUGAAACUGGCAGUCUCGAGUUGGAGAGAAGUAUGCGGAAUGCGCGGUGUAGCGGUGAAAUGCAUAGAUAUCGCGCAGAACUCCGAUUGCGAAGGCAGCAUGCCGGCUCCACACUGACGCUGAGGCACGAAAGCGUGGGUAUCGAACAGGAUUAGAUACCCUUGUAGUC